UCACACUCCUACGCCAAUCUAGAGGAUGUUUAUUGUCAAGAUACGGGGAAAUCAUUAAUGCCGAUACACUUGAGGGCCAGAGCGGCAUAUGGUACUUUUCGUGAACAAUAUAGGGGUGAUGAGAGGAAUCGGGAUAAGAUCACGGCAAAUCUCGAGUUAGUGGAGGGAUUUGAGACCGCAUCCAAGGAGGCUGCAUCUGUCUACAUUUCGCAGGAGGAGG